rnacentral:rRNA from 1 species
GGAUUAGAUACCCGGGUAGUCCACGCCGUAAACGAUGGAUGCUAGCUGUUAGGAGUAUCGACCCUUCUAGUAGCGAAGCUAACGCGUUAAGCAUCCCGCCUGGGGAGUACGGUCGCAAGAUUAAAACUCAAAGGAAUUGACGGGGACCCGCACAAGUGGUGGAGCGUGUUCUUUAAUUCGACGAUAAGCGAAGAACCUUACCAGGGCUUGACAUCCUUGGAAUUUCUCCGAAAGGAGAGAGUACUUUAUUGGACCAAGUGACAGGUGUUGCAUGGCCGUCGUCAGCUCGUGUCGUGAGAUGUUAGGUUAAGUCCUUCAACGAGCGCAACCCUUAUGUUUAGUUGGAUUUUUCUAAACAGACUGCCUCGGUAACGGGGAGGAAGGAGGGGAUGAU